rnacentral:rRNA from 1 species
GAUGAACGCUGGCGGCGUGCCUAAUACAUGCAAGUCGAGCGAACAGACGAGGAGCUUGCUCCUCUGACGUUAGCGGCGGACGGGUGAGUAACACGUGGAUAAUCUACCUAUAAGACUGGUAUAACUUCGGGAAACCGGAGCUAAUACCGGAUAAUAUAUUGAACCGCAUGGUGCAAUAGUGAAAGACGGUUUUGCUGUCACUUAUAGAUGGAUCUGCGCCGCAUUAGCUAGUUGGUAAGGUAACGGCUUAUCAAGGCAAGGAUGCGUAGACGACCUGAGAGAGUGAUCGGCCACACGGGAACUGGGACGCGGUCAAGACGCCUGCGGGAGGCACCAGUAGGGAAUCUUCCGCAAUGGGCGAGAGCUUGACGGAGCAAGGCCGCGUGAGUGAUGAAGGUGUUCGGAUCGUAAAACUCUGUUAUUAGGGAAGAACAAAUGUGUAAGUAACUAUGCACGUCGUGACGGUACCUAGUCAGAAAGCCACGGCUAACUACGUG